AUUUCAUUUUGUUUCGGUUGUCUUGCACCUAUGUAGGUGCUGCUUUGCUGAAACAUAGUCUAGUGGGCCAAGCAGCAGGGUUUGUAGCCUUGUCUGGCCUUGGAUCUCUAUCGGAGUUUCUCUGUCAGAGCUGGCCAUUUGGUGAGAUGAGGCUGGAUGUUAAUGAUUUCUGUGAUGAGGGCAAUACAAGAAGUCAGUUUGCCUGCAAGGUUGGAAGCACCUUGAAAAAGUUACUACUAAAUUAUACUCAUAAUGAUGAAGUACAGUUCUCUAACAAAAGUCAUCUUGUCAGUUAUGGAACAUCCCUCUGAUCUGUGAAGACUGUUUGGAAUUUUGAUCCCACCCACCAAAGUCCUUGUUGGCCCUCCAGCCUGGUGCCACCCACACACUUUCUCAGUGGUGUUCACCUCCAGGUGCUUAGGGACUUGCUUGUCCUCCAGUGGUCCAGUACUGCUCAGAUGCUCUGCUGCAAAUUCCCUGAGAUUCUGCUGAUCCGAGCUCACCUGCCUCCUCCAAGUAGCAAUCCUACAGGACCUGAUUCUAGAGGAAGACCUACGUACUGUCCUGCUCUCCUACCUUAUUUAUGCUCUUAUUUGAACAAACCUGACUUUCUGAUGGAGACCCACAUGAGUCCACUCCACCAACAGUGCAGGUUCACCUGCUCGUGUAAAUCAGCAGAGCACCCUUUUGAAUCGUUCUGGGCAUCCUUCCUCUGUCUUUAUGGGAACUGGAUUAAACCUGCACAGAAGUUGUACCGAUUAGGCAGCUAGGUGUCACUCGCCAGGGAGGUUCCUCAGAGAAGUUCAAAGUUUGCUAGGAGUGGUUGAGAUCAUAAAACCAUUUUAAUUAUUGGUGCAGGACUUAAAAUGUGAGAGACAGAUUUUCUCAAGAUAGUAGUGCAGAGAUGCUCAUUUAUGCCAGAUGCUAUGUUUUAGUGAAAAGUCUUACGAAACAGUAAGUGUUUUGUUUAAACCGAUGACCUGAUCCUUUGCACAGCUAUGGCUUUAUACUGAGGCUCUGUCUUCUGCAGAUCUCCUCUGAGAAUUUGGGGCUAAGGGAAAAUUUGGCUCUGUUUUGAGGUUUAUUUUCUUCUUAACAAAGAGAAAUUUACACAUGAAGAGGCAGACACAGGAAACAAACGAAUCUUAGCACAAGUAAACAACACUGAGACCUGACUGACUCCUCUUUAAAACAACUAAGAGUCCAGGUUUUUUAUUUCUGAAUAAUUUCAGGACCUGAAGCACAACUGUUCACGUGAAUGAGACAUAUAGACUGAGCUCUUACACCUUUAUUAAAAAAGGCUCCAAAGCAAAACCUGCAAAUAGCAGAAUUUAUAAGCAAUACUAAAGUCUGGGCAGAAUUGCAUUGGCUGCUAGAGUAACUGCAGAAUGGCACUGAGUUAAAAAACUGCUGUAGGAGCUUACUAAUUAACAUUCAUUAAACUCUUUGAGAAGUCAAAAGUAAACAUGAAAUGGAUUUUUCUUAACAUUUCUUUAAAAUCUGUUAACAAGACAAUUACGUUUUCACAUAGUAGAAGGUAGCCUAGAAACUACAGGUAAGGUAUAAAUGACAAAUAAUGCAUAAUAACAAUUUAUUCAGUGAAACAACGGAAUGAUCAGGAGACAGGACUCGAUAUUUAUCAUUAUUUCUGGCACUAAGCAUCAACAAAUUAUACCGCUUUUCAAAUGCAAAUGUUUAGAAACGACUAAUGAAACACACUGCCUGUAAAGUCUAUGGUUCACUAUAAGUUAGCAAGCUGACUUGCUUGCACUUGAAAUUCCUAUCUGCCACCAAGAGGCAUCAUCUGAAGACAGGGUAAAGAAUUCUUUAGACAUCAACUAAAGAAAGGUAAAAGGUCUUUAUGAGAGGCAAUGUUUGAGAGGCUGUCUGUCCAAUUGUAAGUUGGUACUGUAUGAAGUACUGGAUGCUAUACAUAGAACAUCCCUUUCCAGCAUGUUGGCUUAUCUUUCUUCUCCUCUUGGCUGGCUCUCGAGGUGCCUAAAGUCUCAUUUCCCGCAUCUUCCUCACAAAAAUCCACUUGAUGCUUGCUUCUGUGUGGAACAACUGAAAGCUUGCCCAGGCUGAGAACUCAGACACCAACCUCCCAAGUCACAGAGUCUGACUUUCUUCCCUGACAAAAUCACAUAGUGAUUUGCGGGCAUUUUUACAAGUCUUGCCAGAUUGGACCUCAAAGAAAACAUUAAUUGUGACUCAGGUCCACUGUGUUCCCCAUCUCUCAUCCAGGAAGUUCAGGAGAUGCCAGGGUUGGAGACCCAGAGGAUGGAAGUCUCUACAAGCAUAGCUUUGGUAAUUCUGCCUGGGGUGAAGGAAGGACUAGAUUUUUUAAUUCCUUUCUGGCCCUGUGACCGAAGGGAUAUCUGAAUAACUGACAGUGUCACCUCAGAUAUAGAGGAUGGGAAUCAAAUUCCCCUGCUGUCUAAAGAAGCUGGAAACCACACCUAAAGCUCUGCUGGAGAACGUCCUCUCUAGCGUGGCUUUCUCUUAUUUCCCUCCAGGAAAAGCUAUUCCCACACACACUGAUGAAAGAAAAUGGUGACCCAGUGGUUGGGAUCUCCUGUGGGAGGGAGAGGUCCGAUUUCAGACCCAAUAAUAACCAAAAAGAGGCUCUAAUCAGGGUGUAAGAUGAGUCACUUCUGCUCACCCUUCUGACUGUAUUUCUCUGUAGGACGUGACACUCGUAACUUGGCAAACCAGCACCGGUGACAUCACUUAAUCUUUUUACAACAAGUCUGGCAGCCAUAUAAAAUGCCUUACAGGAAAAAGAGCUCACAACAUAGACAUUAGAUUCCUAAGAAAAAACUCAUGUGAUUGUGUUCUCUGCUAUUCUGCUUGUCAUCCCCUCCCUAGGGAUUUUAGUAACGUGUGGGAUAAUUCCGAGAAAAUUUGACAGAGAGGUUAAAUAUCUCAAAAAAUGCAGAGUUCCUAUGAGUGCCACAAAAAUUGAUGGCUACGUAGAACAGAGACAUCCAAAUUAGUGACCCCACUGAGAGACUUAAUGGAUAGUCAGCUUUAUUAUUUUACAUCAGAAAAUCAACAGAGGAAAGAGUCACCGGAAAUCAGACUUCAUAAAUCCCACUGCUCAAGAAAUUUCUAAUUCCUACUUGUUAUUACUUGUCUUUGUAAAAACACUGUCUGUCUUCUGCCUCAGGCAUCUGUUACAAGUGUUACUGAAGACGUCCUCUCAGAAGGAAAACAAUUAU